UACGAGUGCGUCGAGCGUUAUCCGGAAUCAUUGGGCGUAAAGGGUGUGUAGGUGGCGUUGUUAGUCUCCUGUAAAAUUCCUCGGCUCAACCGGGGGCGCGCGGGAGAAACGGCAAUGCUAGAGGUUGGUAGGGGUUUCUGGAAUUCUAGGUGUAGCGGUGAAAUGCGUUGAUAUCUAGGAGAACACCAAAAGCGAAGGCAGGAAACUGGACCAUACCUGACACUGAAACACGAAAGCGUGGGUAGCGAAUGGG
rnacentral:rRNA from 1 species